rnacentral:rRNA from 1 species
UACGUAGGGGGCGAGCGUUGUCCGGAUUUAUUGGGCGUAAAGAGCGUGUAGGCGGCCAGGUAGGUCUGCUGUGAAAACUCGAGGCUCAACCUCGAGACGUCGGCGGAAACCAUCUGGCUAGAGUCCGGAAGAGGAGAGUGGAAUUCCUGGUGUAGCGGUGAAAUGCGCAGAUAUCAGGAAGAACACCAAUGGCGAAGGCAGCACUCUGGGACGUGACUGACGCUGAGACGCGAAAGCGUGGGGAGCAAACAGG